rnacentral:rRNA from 1 species
AACGAACGCUGGCGGCAUGCCUAACACAUGCAAGUCGAACGAAGGCUUCGGCCUUAGUGGCGCACGGGUGAGUAACGCGUGGGAACCUGCCCUUCGGUACGGAAUAACGUCGGGAAACUGACGCUAAUACCGUAUAUGUCUCUGGAUGAAAGAUUUAUCGCCGGAGGAGGGGCCCGCGUCUGAUUAGCUAGUUGGUGAGGUAAUGGCUCACCAAGGCGACGAUCAGUAGCUGGUCUGAGAGGAUGAUCAGCCACACUGGGACUGAGACACGGCCCAGACUCCUACGGGAGGCAGCAGUGGGGAAUAUUGGACAAUGGGGGCAACCCUGAUCCAGCAAUGCCGCGUGAGUGAUGAAGGCCUUCGGGUUGUAAAGCUCUUUUGCCAGGGACGAUGAUGACGGUACCUGGAGAAUAAGCCCCGGCUAACUUCGUGCCAGCCGCCGCAGUAA